UACGUAGGGUGCGAGCGUUAAUCGGAAUUACUGGGCGUAAAGCGUGCGUAGGCGGUUCGCUGUGUCCGAUGUGAAAGCCCCAGGCUUAACCUGGGAAUGGCAUUGGAAACUGGCGGGCUUGAGUGCGGCAGAGGGGGGUGGAAUUCCGCGUGUAGCAGUGAAAUGCGUAGAGAUGCGGAGGAACACCGAUGGCGAAGGCAGCCCCCUGGGUCGACACUGACGCUCAGGCACGAAAGCGUGGGGAGCAAACAGG
rnacentral:rRNA from 1 species